GUAUAUGUUUUAUAGGCACAACAUUCUAUUAACAUACAUUGGGGUAAAAAUGAAGCAACAUAGACCUGAAAGGUCUACAAAAAGUGCACAGGUGGAGAUAUAAAGAUGACAAGGCGUGCACAUGCUCCCUAGAGAGCCAGCAACAACCCAUCAGGUUUAUUUCAAUAAUGAUCCUUCCGCAGGUUCACCUACGGAAA
rnacentral:misc_RNA from 1 species